AUCAAAAGCUGGAUGACACAAAAUUUCUUGAAAUUCAACGAAAAGAAGACAGAGGUGAUAUUGUUUGGUUCCAGUGGCCCUUGUACAUCCCAUUCUGUAGACUUGGGCCCCCUGUCUCCUUAUCUUAAGUCAACAGUCUCAAACCUGGGCCUUAAACUGGACAGUGAUUUCAAACUCGAUCGGCAAAUUGGUGCCGUUGUUAAAUCCAGCUUCUUUCACCUUAGACAGCUGGCCAAAAUAAAACCUCUCCUCUCACAUGAACACUUUGAGACAGUAAUUCAUGCCUUUGUCACAUCCCGGCUCGAUUACUGCAAUGCCCUGUACUUUGGAGUCAGCCAGUCCUCCAUUAAGCGCCUUCAGCUGGUCCAGAAUGCUGCUGCUCGCCUCUUGACUGGUACUCGUAAGAGGGAGCACAUAACUCCUACUCUGGCAUCCCUUCACUGGCUCCCCAUUCAUUUUAGAGUUAUUUUCAAGAUCCUCCUCUUUGUUUUCAAAUCUCUGAAUAAUCUCGCGCCACCUUACCUCUCGGAGCUCAUCCGCCCCUACACACCUGCCCGGCGCCUCAGGUCUGCGGACCAGACAUUAUUAGAAGUACCAAGAACUAAGAUGAGGCUCAGAAGGGAUUGAGCCUUUUCUGUUGCUGGUCUCUCUCUCUGGAAUGACUUCCCACUGAACAUUCGGCAAGCCUCCUCGUUGCCCAUCUUCAAAGCCCUCCUCAAAACUCACUUGUAUUCUUUGGCAUUCGACUCAGCACGACUUUGAUUUGUUCUUGGUUUUACUGUUCGGUGCUUUCUACCGUCUUUGUUACUGAUUUGUUUUACUGUUUAUUGUAUCUGUUAAAUCGCUCCAUGUACAGCACUUUGUAUGCAGCGAUGGCUGUUCGAAAGUGCUCUAUAAAUACAAUUGAAUUGAA